UGAUAGGAUUGGGGGCUGUGUU
rnacentral:piRNA from 1 species